rnacentral:rRNA from 1 species
AUUGAACGCUGGCGGCAUGCUUUACACAUGCAAGUCGAACGGCAGCACGGGUGCUUGCACCUGGUGGCGAGUGGCGGACGGGUGAGUAAUACAUCGGAACGUAUCCAGAAGAGGGGGAUAACGCAUCGAAAGAUGUGCUAAUACCGCAUAUUCUCUGAGGAGGAAAGCAGGGGAUCGAAAGACCUUGCGCUUUGGGAGCGGCCGAUGUCUGAUUAGCUAGUUGGUGGGGUAAAGGCCUACAGGCGACGAUCAGUAGUUGGUCUGAGAGGACGACCAGCACACUGGGACGUGAGACACGGCCCACGACUCCUA